rnacentral:RNase_P_RNA from 1 species
UGAGUAGAGGAGGUGGUCGCCGGCCGUACUCGCGGUCGGAGGAAAGUCCGAGCUCCACAGGGCAGGAUGGUCGCUAACAGCGACUGGGGGCGACCCCAAGGAAAGUGCCACAGAAAAAAUACCGCCCCACUUAUGCGGGGUAAGGGUGAAAAGGCGAGGUAAGAGCUCACCGCUCCUCUGGUGACAGGGGAGGCAAGGCAAACCCCAUCCGGAGCAAGACCAAAUAGGAGAACGUUUGAGGAUGGCCCGUCCGAUGUUCUCGGGUAGGUCGCUGGAGGUGGCAGGCAACUGUCAUCGUAGAUUGAUGAUCACCGCCACCGAAAGGUGGUAACAGAACUCGGCUUACGAUCUACUCAGAUA